CACAAGAGGGACUGACAGUACGAGAACUUCAAAAUGAUUUGAAAAGUUGGCAUGAAAAAUUGUUGCUACUCUAAUAUUAAACAUCCAAACAUAUAGACUGAGACCAAAUUAAACCAAACACGACAAAGAAAUCAUUUUAUAAUGCAAUACCCCACAAAGUUCCCUUAAUUCCAUUUUCCUUCCCUUAGUUUAACCCUUGUGUGGAAAUGCACUGGGAGAGAACCAGAGACAUGAUUCUGGGACUGCAACUUAGAGCCUUACAGCUGUAAGCAAGAGACGUCACUUUUCUGUCAGGAAUGACUAAAGGUCUACUCCUUGAAUUAAAGUGCAUAAUAACAACAGUUCUAAAGAACAUAGACAAAUGGAAUAAGUUAAAAAAAAAUUGCAAAAGAGUGCAUUUGAUCAUUUAACGAAAAUAAAUUACAUUAAAAGUAUAUAGAAAUAUACAACAUUUAGGAAGAAGUUAGAACUGCAUAAAAACUAAAUAAAAUAAUUUAAGAAGUAAAUAAAUAGAGUGCAUUUGAUCAGUUAACAGAAAACACUUGAGAACAGUUUGGUCUUCAAUCUAGAUUUGAAACUGGCUAGGAAGUUGGUUCCAGAGCGAAGCAGCAUAGCAGCUAAAAGCUGCUUCAGGAUGUUAAUUUCAGACUGUAGGUUUUACCAACAGAUUUUCCUCUAGAGAUUUGAGAGGUCUUGCAGGUGUGUACUGCUGAAACAUAUCUGACAGGGAAUUUGGUCCUGUCCCAUUUAGUGACUUAUAAACAGGUAUUGGAGUAAUACGGUUUUUGUACAAGCUGAAGCCUGUAAAUCUGAUGUCAGUGGAAGAGCAAGUACAUCCAGUCUCUCCACAGUCUACGUGCAUUUACACCUGUAAAGUGAGAUGACCAAGCCAGGCGGUGUCCUCAUCUCCAGAGCAGACCAGCGGUGGGUAGGCCAUACACUGCUGUUCAGAGUGUUCCAUCUGAGAAGAGUGAAAUGCAGAUAGCCUGCUGAGGAGUCCGUGGAACGUGAGUCUGCAGAGCAACACCCAGAUGACCCAGCAACAGAAUAUCGGCAUCUGAUACAAAUGAAAGAGGAGAUACUGGCAGAGGAGUGAGAAGAAAGGGAGUACCAACAGCAGAAGUUCAGUUAAUGGUCACAAAUAAAAUAAAUAUUUCAUGAGA